CAGGAAGUAGUUUACGGUGAGAAUACUAAUUUUGGAGAUUAGAGAUGGGGUUUCCCUUUCCUGA
rnacentral:tRNA from 1 species